UUUAUAAAGAGUUUGAUCCUGGCUCAGGACGAACGCUGGCGGCGCGCCUAACACAUGCAAGUCGAACGAGCGAGAGAGAGCUUGCUUUCUCGAGCGAGUGGCGAACGGGUGAGUAACGCGUGAGGAACCUGCCUCAAAGAGGGGGACAACAGUUGGAAACGACUGCUAAUACCGCAUAAGCCCACGGCUCGGCAUCGAGCAGAGGGAAAAGGAGCAAUCCGCUUUGAGAUGGCCUCGCGUCCGAUUAGCUAGUUGGUGAGGUAACGGCCCACCAAGGCGACGAUCGGUAGCCGGACUGAGAGGUUGAACGGCCACAUUGGGACUGAGACACGGCCCAGACUCCUACGGGAGGCAGCAGUGGGGAAUAUUGCACAAUGGGGGAAACCCUGAUG
rnacentral:rRNA from 1 species